CAGUCAAUUUGGUUGUGAAACCUAGUAUUUAUUCGGGUAUCACAGCCAUUUUGACGAGU
rnacentral:pre_miRNA from 1 species